rnacentral:rRNA from 1 species
UAAGGAAUAUUGGUCAAUGGACGCAAGUCUGAACCAGCCAUGCCGCGUGAAGGAUGAAAGCCCUCUGGGUUGUAAACUUCUUUUAUAUGGGACGAAAAAGGAUCUUUCCAGAUCAACUGACGGUACCAUGUGAAUAAGCACCGGCUAACUCCGUGCCAGCAGCCGCGGUAAUACGGAGGGUGCAAGCGUUAUCCGGAUUCACUGGGUUUAAAGGGAGCGUAGGUGGGCUGGUAAGUCAGUGGUGAAAUCCCCGAGCUUAACUUGGGAACUGCCAUUGAUACUAUCAGUCUUGAAUACUGUGGAGGUUAGCGGAAUAUGUCAUGUAGCGGUGAAAUGCUUAGAUAUGACAUAGAACACCAAUUGCGAAGGCAGCUGGCUACACAAUUAUUGACACUGAGGCUCGAAAGCGUGGGGAUCAAACAG